GGGUCAACGGUGGCAGACUUGAAAUGAGCCCAACGGCAGUCAUGCGCCUUAGUCUGACUGUCACAAGAGCCACACAGUGGCUUCAAGUGUGUUUGUAGGAAGAUUGGUGUCUUUCUUACCAAUCGUCUCACGCGGAAGGUUAGUUCAGCACAGAGACUGAGGUUAGGUCACGGUCUGAGGAAACAGCGUGAGAGUCGAGGUUAGGUCACGGUCUGAGGAAACAGCGGGAGAGUCGAGGUUAGGUCACGGUCUGAGGAAACAGCGUGAGAGUCGAGGUUAGGUCACGGUCUGAGGAAACAGCGGGAGAGUCGAGGUUAGGUCACGGUCUGAGGAAACAGCGUGAGAGUCGAGGUUAGGUCACGGUCUGAGGAAACAGCGGGAGAGUCGAGGUUAGGUCACGGUCUGAGGAAACAGGUCACGGUCUGAGGAAACAGCGGGAGAGUCGAGGUUAGGUCACGGUCUGAGGAAACAGGUCACGGUCUGAGGAAACAGCGGGAGAGUCGAGGUUAGGUCACGGUCUGAGGAAACAGCGGGAGAGUCGAGGUUAGGUCACGGUCUGAGGAAACAGCGUGAGAGUCGAGGUUAGGUCACGGUCUGAGGAAACAGCGGGAGAGUCGAGGUUAGGUCACGGUCUGAGGAAACAGCGUGAGAGUCGAGGUUAGGUCACGGUCUGAGGAAACAGCGGGAGAGUCGAGGUUAGGUCACGGUCUGAGGAAACAGCGUGAGAGUCGAGGUUAGGUCACGGUCUGAGGAAACAGCGGGAGAGUCGAGGUUAGGUCACGGUCUGAGGAAACAGCGUGAGAGUCGAGGUUAGGUCACGGUCUGAGGAAACAGCGGGAGAGACAGAGGUUAGGUCACGGUCUGAGGAAACAGCGGGAGAGUCGAGGUUAGGUCACGGUCUGAGGAAACAGCGGGAGAGUAGAGGUUAGGUCACGGUCUGAGGAAACAGCGGGAGAGUCGAGGUUAGGUCACGGUCUGAGGAAACAGCGGGAGAGUAGAGGUUAGGUCACGGUCUGAGGAAACAGCGGGAGAGUCGAGGUUAGGUCACGGUCUGAGGAAACAGCGGGAGAGUCGAGGUUAGGUCACGGUCUGAGGAAACAGCGGGAGAGACAGAGGUUAGGUCACGGUCUGAGGAAACAGCGGGAGAGACAGAGGUUAGGUCACGGUCUGAGGAAACAGCGUGAGAGUCGAGGUUAGGUCACGGUCUGAGGAAACAGGUCACGGUCUGAGGAAACAGCGGGAGAGUCGAGGUUAGGUCACGGUCUGAGGAAACAGCGUGAGAGUCGAGGUUAGGUCACGGUCUGAGGAAACAGCGGGAGAGUCGAGGUUAGGUCACGGUCUGAGGAAACAGCGUGAGAGUCGAGGUUAGGUCACGGUCUGAGGAAACAGCGGGAGAGUCGAGGUUAGGUCACGGUCUGAGGAAACAGCGGGAGAGUAGA